rnacentral:lncRNA from 1 species
AAGACCAUUCUCAGCAACCAGACUGUCAACAUUCCAGAAAAUGGUGACAUUACUCUGAAGGGACACACAGUUACUGUGAAAGGCCCCAGAGGAACCCUGCAGAGGGAUUUCAAUCACAUCAGUGUAGAUUCAGUCUUCUUGGAAAGAAAGAAAAGAGGCUCCAGGUUGAUAAAUGGUGGGGAAACUGAAAGGAACUGGCUGCCGUUCAGACUAUUUGUAGUCAUGUACAGAACAUGAUCAAGGGUGUUACACUGGGCUUCCAUUACAGGAUGAGGUCUGUGUAUGCUCACUUCCCCAUCAAUGUCGUUAUCCAGGAGAAUGGGUCUCUUGUUGAAAUCUGAAAUUUCUUGGGUGAAAAAUACAUCCUCAGGGUUCGGAUGAGAACAGGUGUUGCUUGUUCAGUAUCUCAAGCCCAGAAAGAUGAAUUAAUCCUUGAAGGUAAUGACAUUGAGCUUGUUUCCAAUUUAGAGGCUUUGAUUCAGCAAGCCACGACAGUUAAAAACAAGGAUAUCAGGAAAUUUUUGGAUGGUAUCUAUGUCUCUGAAAAAGGAACUGUUCAGCCGGCUGAUGAAUAA